GAGUUUGAUCGUGGCUCAGAUUGAACGCUGGCGGCAUGCCUUACACAUGCAAGUCGAACGGCAGCACGGGAGCUUACUCCUGGUGGCGAGUGGCGAACGGGUGAGUAAUGCAUCGGAACGUAUCCUGGAGUGGGGGAUAACGUAGCGAAAGUUACGCUAAUACCGCAUAUUCUGUGAGCAGGAAAGCGGGGGACCUUCGGGCCUCGCGCUCUUGGAGCGGCCGAUGUCGGAUUAGCUAGUUGGUGAGGUAAAGGCUCACCAAGGCGACGAUCCGUAGCAGGUCUGAGAGGAUGAUCUGCCACACUGGAACUGAGACACGGUCCAGACUCCUACGGGAGGCAGCAGUGGGGAAUUUUGGACAAUGGGGGCAACCCUGAUCCAGCCAUGCCGCGUGAGUGAAGAAGGCCUUCGG
rnacentral:rRNA from 1 species